CAGAGGGACUCCAGCAGGAACGAAGCGAAGGGCAAGAGGAGUGAGCGGAUGAAAGGAGAAGGGGAUGAGAAGCCGUAUCCUGCCCUUGUACUUAGACCCCUGUCUACCUGAGACCAACAUUUGAAGAUUCCUCUGGGGAGUCUGUGAGCUGAGGUGUUGUCAUCUCUUUAAGAGACACCUGCCUGGGCACAAGGUGAAGACUCACCUUGUAUGGGAAGUGACCUACAAUUCAGGAAGCACAGGUUGUGAUGGAUCCCCAGAUUCCUGUUCUUUGGCUGGAUGCCUUUGCCCGGGAUAUCAGAUGCAUUCCACCAUGACCACAAACACCAGUGAAGAUCGAGUUACCACGACAAAUGCCAACUGCCUCCUGCUGUGUACCAGUUUCUAUGCUUCAUAUAUGUGUUGAUUCACAGAUAUUUACCAAGCACCUACAUCCCGCCCCGGGCACUACGGUAGGUAGGUCCUGAGGACGCAA